GAGAGUGGUGGAAUGGUAGACACGUCAGACUUAAAAUCUGAUGG
rnacentral:tRNA from 1 species